rnacentral:lncRNA from 1 species
UGCAUAUUUCAUAUUUUUUAUUGUCACAUCAUCCACAUAACAAGACCUGCACUGAUAAUGAACAAAGGGCCAACUGUACUGUAUCUUGCUGUAGUUCAGAACUUCUUUUUUUUAUUUUCCAGCACUUUCACUGGUAACCAGGUCCUUUUUCCCACAACUGGAAAAUUGGAUUUAGUUUUUUUUUUUUUUACAUGGGAACAAUGACAUUCUUUUUGAUCUGUUCCUGUGCCCCAGCGGAACAUGAUAUUCGGCUGAUUCAAACCUUUUGUUAAAUUACGGUUAUUUGCACGAAGAGAACUUUAUUUAGUCAGAAGCACCGAAUUAAGAGGAUUUAGAUGAUUCCGCGUGCCUCUGAUGCUUGCAGUCGGCUGGAAUGGAACAGCGAUGCAAAAGAAGGACCGGGGCUCCGUUGAACUUGAAGUUUGUCUGGGAAAGAAGCAAUCGGAUUUUAACUACUGCGCACUCCCAUCCGCAGCCAAGGGGCCCCUCCUCAGACGAUACCCUCAGCUCCUGUGAAACGCCUUUUACUCCGUGGGAAAACAAACGUUUUCAUGUUCAUAGGUGAGAUGAAAGCUAAACCUGCAUGCCUUUGCUGCAGGACAUGGUUACCGUGCAAUGUCUCUGCAACCCUGCGUCUCACAUACAGCCUGUCUGCGGACUUGAACCUGCAACAGUUCACGUCCUUGACCAUUACACUAGUUGUUUCUUCUAACUGAAGUAAAUGACUGUAUCUUUCAACAUUUUAUUCCUUAUUUUACCCAAAAAAAAUUAAAAUACAACCGUCGAAGGUGGCCUGUCCUUUACAGGUGUACCCCUAUGUAGGACGUUCAGUGACACAGCACCACACAUCCAUGUCCCAUCUAUGUUUCACAACUGCGGAAGCCCGAAGAGCGCAAGUUCAUAACAAAGAAGGAUUUAUGCCCCGAGUCACGAUGCAGUCGGGGAUCCAGCCGACAUACUCAAACGCCGAUGCGUGUUGGCUCAGCGGGGCAACCAAGAGAAUAGCCGGGGACAGGCGAGGAUCGAUCGAUCAUUGUACGUUGAUCCGAGGAGUAGACGAGAGCCAGAGUUGAGGUCACGGAGUCGAGAGCUGAAGAACUGGGAAAACCAAAACCAAGGGAGCGCAGGAUGGGGAAGGAGAGGGGAACAAUAC